CCAAUAGCGUAUAUUAAAGUUGUUGCAGUUAAAAAGCUCGUAGUUGAAUUUUAGGCCUGACCGGGCGGUCCGUCUUUGGCGAGUACUGUCCUGUGUCGGGUCCACCUUCUGGUGAACCAGUAUGUCCUUUAUUGGGUGUGCCGGGGAGCCAGGACCAUUACCUUGAAAAAAUUAGAGUGUUUAAAGCAGGCAUUUGCUUGAAUAGAUUAGCAUGGAAUAAUAGAAUAGGACGUUGUGGUUCUAUUUUGUUGGUUUCUAGGACCACCGUAAUGAUUAAUAGGGAUAGUUGGGGGCAUUAGUAUUCAAUUGUCUGAGGUGAAAUUCUUGGAUUUAUUGAAGACUAACUACUGCGAAAGCAUUUGCCAAGGAUGUUUUCAUUAAUCAAGAACGAAAGUUAGGGGAUCGAAGACGAUCAGAUACCGUCGUAGUCUUAACCAUAAACUAUGCCGACUAGGGAUCGGAUGAUGUUAAUUUUAUAAUGACUCAUUCGGCACCUUACG
rnacentral:rRNA from 1 species